rnacentral:rRNA from 1 species
UACGUAGGGGGCAAGCGUUGUCCGGAUUCAUUGGGCGUAAAGGGCGCGUAGGCGGCCUGUUAAGUCGAACGUGAAAUCCCCGGGCUCAACCCGGGAACUGCGUCCGAUACUGGCAGGCUUGAAUCCGGGAGAGGGAUGCGGAAUUCCAGGUGUAGCGGUGAAAUGCGUAGAUAUCUGGAGGAACACCGGUGGCGAAGGCGGCAUCCUGGACCGGUAUUGACGCUGAGGCGCGAAAGCCAGGGGAGCAAACGGG